rnacentral:rRNA from 1 species
CUGCUGCCUCCCGUAGGAGUCUGGGCCGUGUCUCAGUCCCAGUGUGGGGGGGCCUUCCUCUCAGAACCCCUACGCAUCGUCGCCACGGUGGGCCGUCACCCCGCCGUCUAGCUAAUGCGCCGCAUGCCCAUCCGCCACCGGAUCGCUCCUUUGGCCACCGGAGGAUGCCCUCCGGUGGCGUCACGGGGUAUUAGGCCGCGUUUCCGCGGGUUAUCCCCCUGUGGCGGCCAGGUGCAUACGUGUUACUCACCCGUGCGCCGGUCGCCGGG